GGGCUCCCGGCAUCUCCCUGCUUCGGGGCAGAGGAUGCCGGGGGUAGAGUACGGGAGGGCUGGAGCGAGGGUGGACUGGAGGUGCCGCUUGUCCUGGAGGUGGGAGAGAGGGAGCGGCUUUGCCGCCUGGCCUGCGUCCUAAUCCUGUCCUGGUUCUUCUGCUCCCGAAGGGAACGUAGGUCCCGCGCCUGUGAUAAGUAAGGUUGGAUUUUCUCUUCCCUGAGGUGAAGGAUGCCCGGAGGCCUCGGCAGGACCGUGCGGAAACGGGCCUUCUGCCCAAAAGAUGCUGCUUCUCUCCUUAUUCUUUCCCCUCAGAAUCUCGCUGUCUCCUUCCAACCACCUGUGGUCGGCAUCCCCGCGUUGUCACUGCGACGCAGAGGCGAGCGAGGUGGCGGGAAGCACCCGCGGGGCGGGGAGGGACCCUGCGGGCGCGGACUCCACACCAAGCCUCUGCUCAGCGUCACCCCGCUUGCUGUGUCCUCGCAGGUCGCAGCUUCAUGGCCUGAUGCCUUCAGGAAGUAUUUUGAAGUCAUCGUGGCUGUGGAUUGGGGGAUUUCUUGUUUCCACUGACCUGUGAGGCCGCGCACGUGGAGGGAGGCACCCCGGGUCCUCCGGCACUGUCCGGCCUCGCCUGUGUCCCUAGUAGCAGUGGGCAUUUCCAGACGGUGCAGCUUGUGGCUAAAGUGACAGGAAGAUGUAGGAGCUUUCAGUCUUGGAUGAGGAUUCGAACUGAAGGGCUUAGGCCCAGCUGUCUUGGAGCAAAACAUCUGUUGUGGGAUGUGGCGGCAGAGGAGGGCAAGGCCGAAGGAGCAGACAGCACCGCUUCUUGGGGAGUUGUGAAGGCAUCAUGCGGAGGGCCGAGCUUAGCAGCCAAGUGGAGGACAGCACCCUCCAUGCCUGGAUUCGUUACUCGCUCGUUCUCGAUGUUGAGCUGCUGGCAUAUUGCAGCACAACUAGAGAUGUACGGAUGCCCCCAUCUUGAUCUUACAGAAUCAGAGGUGCAGCCGCAAGAAAGGUCUCUACACCCUCUCGGUUUUCUCUGCUCUGCCAACACUAGUGGAAUAUGAUCACAUCCCAGGGAUCAGUGUCAUUUAGGGAUGUGACUAUGGGCUUCACUCAAGAGGAGUGGCAUCAUCUGGACCCUGCUCAGAGGACCCUGUAGAGGAAUGUGAUGCUGGAGAACUACAGCCACCUUGUCUCAGUAGGGUAUUGCAUUCCUAAACCAGAAGUGAUCCUCAAAUUGGAGACAGGCAAGGAGCCAUGGAUAUUAGAGGAAAAAUUUCGAAGCCAGAGUCAUCUGGGUGAGUUAGUGCCAGAUGGAAUUUAAAGAAUUAAUUAAUACCAGUAGAAACUAUUCAAGAAUGAAGUUCAAUGAGUUUAACAAAGGUGGAAAAUGUUUCUGUGAUGAAAGCAUGAAAUAAUUCAUUUUGAAGAGGAACCUUCUGAAUAUAAUAACAAUGGGAACAGCUUCUGGCUGAAUGAAGACCUCAUUUGGCAUCAGAAGAUUAAAAAUUGGGAGCAACCUUUUGAAUACAAUGAAUGUGGGAAAGCUUUCCCUGAGAAUUCACUCUUCCUUGUACAUAAGAGAGCUUACACAGGACAGAAAACAUGCAAAUAUACUGAACAUGGGAAAACCUGUUAUAUGUCAUUUUUUAUUACUCAUCAGCAAACACAUCCAAGAGAGAACCACUAUGAAUGUAAUGAAUGUGGAGAAAGUAUCUUUGAGGAAUCCAUUCUCUUUGAACAUCAGAAUGUUUACCCAUUCAGCCAGAAUUUAAAUCCCACUCUAAUUCAGAGAACCCACUCAAUUAGCAAUAUUAUUGAAUAUAAUGAAUGUGGAACCUUUUUCAGUGAAAAAUUAGCCCUUCAUUUACAACAGAGAACACAUCCAGGGGAAAAACCUUAUGAAUGUCAUGAAUGUGGAAAAACCUUCACCCAGAAGUCAGCCCACACAAGACAUCAGAGAACACACACAGGGAAAACCCUAUGAAUGUCACGGAUGUGGGAAGACCUUCUAUAAGAAUUCAGACCUCAUUAGAAAUCAAAGAAUUCACACAGGGGAGAGACCUUACAGAUGUCAUGAAUGGAGAAAUCCUUCAGUGAAAAGUCAUCCCUUACUCAAAAUCAGAGAACACACGUGGGGAGAAAUCAUGAAUGUCAUGAAUGUGGGAAAACCUCGUUUAAGUCAGUUCUAACUGUGCAUCAGAAAACACACAGGGGAGAAGCCCUAUGAAUGCUAUGCAUGUGGCAACACCUUUCUCAGAAAAUCCGACCUCAUUAAACAUCAGAGAAUUCACACAGGAGAAAAACCUUAUGAAUGUAAUGAAUGUGGGAAGUCAUUCUCCGAGAAGUCAACCCUUACUAAACAUCUAAGAACACACAGAUGGGAAAUCUUAUGCAUGUAUUCAAUGUGGAAAAUUUUUCUGCUGCUACUACAGUUUCACAGAACAUCUGAGAAGACACACAGGGGAGAAACCUUUUGGAUGUAAUGAAUGUGGGAAAACCUUCCAUCAGAAGUUGGCCCUAAUUGUUCACCAGAGAACUCAUAUAAGACAGAAACCCUAUGGAUGUAAUGAAUGUGGAAAAUCAUUCUGUGUGAAGUCAAAACUCAUUGCACAUCAUAGAACAUACACAGGGGAGAAACCCUAUGAAUGUAA
ensembl:lncRNA ZNF37BP zinc finger protein 37B, pseudogene